rnacentral:rRNA from 1 species
GAUUCAGGCCUAACACAUGCAAGUCGAGCGGAUGAAGGGAGCUUGCUCCUGGAUUCAGCGGCGGACGGGUGAGUAAUGCCUAGGAAUCUGCCUGGUAGUGGGGGAUAACGUCCGGAAACGGGCGCUAAUACCGCAUACGUCCUGAGGGAGAAAGUGGGGGAUCUUCGGACCUCACGCUAUCAGAUGAGCCUAGGUCGGAUUAGCUAGUUGGUGGGGUAAAGGCCUACCAAGGCGACGAUCCGUAACUGGUCUGAGAGGAUGAUCAGUCACACUGGAACUGAGACACGGUCCAGACUCCUACGGGAGGCAGCAGUGGGGAAUAUUGGACAAUGGGCGAAAGCCUGAUCCAGCCAUGCCGCGUGUGUGAAGAAGGUCUUCGGAUUGUAAAGCACUUUAAGUUGGGAGGAAGGGCAGUAAGUUAAUACCUUGCUGUUUUGACGUUACCAACAGAAUAAGCACCGGCUAACUUCGUGCCAGCAGCCGCGGUAAUACGAAGGGUGCAAGCGUUAAUCGGAAUUACUGGGCGUAAAGCGCGCGUAGGUGGUUCAGCAAGUUGGAUGUGAAAUCCCCGGGCUCAACCUGGGAACUGCAUCCAAAACUACUGAGCUAGAGUACGGUAGAGGGUGGUGGAAUUUCCUGUGUAGCGGUGAAAUGCGUAGAUAUAGGAAGGAACACCAGUGGCGAAGGCGACCACCUGGACUGAUACUGACACUGAGGUGCGAAAGCGUGGGGAGCAAACAGGAUUAGAUACCCUGGUAGUCCACGCCGUAAACGAUGUCGACUAGCCGUUGGGAUCCUUGAGAUCUUAGUGGCGCAGCUAACGCGAUAA